GCCGGGGAAAACCGGGGAUAAAACCGGGAUAAAACCCUUUUUACCCCCAUGGGUGGAAAUCGAAAGGCCGCUUCGGCUGUCACUUAUGGAUAGACCCGCGUCGCAUUAGCUAGUUGGUGAGGGAAAGGCUCACCAAGGCAACGAUGCGUAGCCGACUUGAGAGGGUGAUCGGCCACACUGGGACUGAGACACGGCCCAGACUCCUACGGGAGGCAGCAGUAGGGAAUCUUCCGCAAUGGACGAAAGUCUGACGGAGCAACGCCGCGUGAGUGAUGAAGGCUUUCGGGUCGUAAAACUCUGUUGUUAGGGAAGAACAAUUUCUAGUUGAAUAAGCUGGCACCUUGACGGUACCUAACCAGAAAGCCACGGCUAACUUCGUGCCAGCAGCCGCGGUAAUACGUAGGUGGCAAGCGUUAUCUGGAAUUAUUGGGCGUAAAGCGCGCGCAGGUGGUUUUUUAAGUUUGAUGUGAAAGCCCCCGGCUCAACCGUGGAGGGUCAUUGGAAACUGGGAGACUUGAGUGCAGAAGAGGAAAGUGGAAUUCCAUGUGUAGCGGUGAAAUGCGUAGAGAUAUGGAGGAACACCAGUGGCGAAGGCGACUUUUUGGUCUGUAAUACUGACGCUGAGGUCGCGAAAGCAGUGGGGAGCAAACAGGAUUAGAUACCCUGGUAGUCCAUGCCGUAAACGAUGUGUGCUAAGCUGUUAGAGGGCCUUUGCGCGCUUUUGUGGCUGAAGUUACGCGAUAAGUAGACUCGCCUGGGGAGUACGGUCGCAAGACUAAAAACCCAAUGAAAUGGCGGGGGCCCCCACAAGCGGGGGAACAUGGGGUUUAAUUUCAUGCCACCCGAAAAAACUUUCCUGGGUCUGGACUUCCUAGAACUUUCCAAAGAUGGGUUGGUGCCCUUCGGAACUUAAAUGACGGGGGUGGCUGGGUUGUCUCCGCUUCGGGUCGGGAAAGGUGGGGUAAAGUCCCCGCACCAAGCGCAACCCCUUUUCCUUUACUUGGCCAUCAUUUUAGGAUGGGAACUUUUAAGGAUACUGCCGGUGACAAACCUGGAGGGAAGGGGGGGGACGAACGUCAAAGUCAUCAUGCCCCUUUACGACCAGGGCUACACACGUGCUACAAUGGAUCGGUACAAAGAGGUUGCAUACACUAGCGAUGUGGAUGCUAAUCUCAAAAAAGCCGAUCUGUAGUUCCGGAUUGUGAGUCUGCAACUCGCACUACCAUGAAGCUCGGAAAUCGCUAGUAAUCGCGGAUCAGCAAUGCCGCGGUGAAAUACGUUCCCGGGCCUUGUACACACCGCCCGUCACACCAUGAGGAGUUUGUAAGCACCAGAGAUAGGGGGGUGGGUCUAACCGUUAUUGGAGGACGCUCACCACGGGUGUGGACAGAUGACUGGGG
rnacentral:rRNA from 1 species